rnacentral:tRNA from 1 species
GGCGAGGUAGCUCAGUUGGUUAGAGCGGCGGAUUCAUAAACCGCAGGUCAUGAGUUCAACUCUCAUCCUCGCUA